rnacentral:rRNA from 1 species
AGCAGCCGCGGUAAUUCCAGCUCCAAUAGCGUAUAUUAAAGUUGUUAGCAGUUAAAAAGCUCGUAGUUGAACUUCGGGGUCUACCCAUUGGUCAGGCUUAAUUGUCUGUACUGGUGAGAUGGAUUCUCUACCUUCUGAGGAACUUUCAUGCCAUUUAUUUGGUGUGGUUGGAAAUCAGGACUGUUACUUUGAAAAAUUAGAGUGUUUAAAGCAGACUAUCGUCUGAAUAC